rnacentral:rRNA from 1 species
UACGUAGGGUGCGAGCGUUAAUCGGAAUUACUGGGCGUAAAGCGUGCGCAGGCGGUGAUGUAAGACCGAUGUGAAAUCCCCGGGCUUAACCUGGGAACUGCAUUGGUGACUGCAUUGCUGGAGUAUGGCAGAGGGGGGGUGGAAUUCCACGUGUAGUAGUGAAAUGCGUAGAGAUGUGGAGGAACACCGAUGGCGAAGGCAGCCCCCUGGGCCAAUACUGACGCUCAUGCACGAAAGCGUGGGGAGCAAACAGG